rnacentral:rRNA from 1 species
AUUGAACGCUGGCGGCAUGCCUUACACAUGCAAGUCGAACGGUAACAGGUCUUCGGAUGCUGACGAGUGGCGAACGGGUGAGUAAUACAUCGGAACGUGCCCAGACGUGGGGGAUAACGAGGCGAAAGCUUUGCUAAUACCGCAUACGAUCUAAGGAUGAAAGCAGGGGACCGCAAGGCCUUGCGCGUUUGGAGCGGCCGAUGGCAGAUUAGGUAGUUGGUGGGAUAAAAGCUUACCAAGCCGACGAUCUGUAGCUGGUCUGAGAGGACGACCAGCCACACUGGGACUGAGACACGGCCCAGACUCCUACGGGAGGCAGCAGUGGGGAAUUUUGGACAAUGGGCGAAAGCCUGAUCCAGCAAUGCCGCGUGCAGGAUGAAGGCCUUCGGGUUGUAAACUGCUUUUGUACGGAACGAAAAGGCUCUGGCUAAUACCUGGGGCACAUGACGGUACCGUAAGAAUAAGCACCGGCUAACUACGUGCCAGCAGCCGCGGUAAUACGUAGGGUGCGAGCGUUAAUCGGAAUUACUGGGCGUAAAGCGUGCGCAGGCGGUUUCGUAAGACAGAGGUGAAAUCCCCGGGCUCAACCUGGGAGCUGCCUUUGUGACUGCAAAGCUGGAGUGCGGCAGAGGGGGAUGGAAUUCCGCGUGUAGCAGUGAAAUGCGUAGAUAUGCGGAGGAACACCGAUGGCGAAGGCAAUCCCCUGGGCCUGCACUGACGCUCAUGCACGAAAGCGUGGGGAGCAAACAGG